AGCGAACGCUGGCGGCAGGCUUAACACAUGCAAGUCGAGCGGGCGUAGCAAUACGUCAGCGGCAGACGGGUGAGUAACACGUGGGAACGUACCUUUUGGUUCGGAACAACACAGGGAAACUUGUGCUAAUACCGAAUAAGCCCUUACGGGGAAAGAUUUAUCGCCGAAAGAUCGGCCCGCGUCUGAUUAGCUUGUUGGUGAGGUAACGGCUCACCAAGGCGACGAUCAGUAGCUGGUCNGAGAGGAUGAUCAG
rnacentral:rRNA from 1 species